GCGUCCGUAGCUCAGAUGGAUAGAGCGUUCGGCUCCGACCCGGAAGGCCGCUGGUUCGAAUCCAGUCGGGCGCACCA
rnacentral:tRNA from 1 species